UACGUAGGGUGCGAGCGUUGUCCGGAAUUAUUGGGCGUAAAGAGCUCGUAGGCGGUGUGUCACGUCGUUCGUGAAAACCUGCAGCUUAACUGUGGGCGUGCGGUCGAUACGGGCAUCACUGGAGUUCGGCAGGGGAGACUGGAAUUCCUGGUGUAGCGGUGAAAUGCGCAGAUAUCAGGAGGAACACCGGUGGCGAAGGCGGGUCUCUGAGCCGAUACUGACGCUGAGGAGCGAAAGCGUGGGGAGCGAGCAGG
rnacentral:rRNA from 1 species